GUGGGGAAUAUUCCGCAAUGGACGAAAGUCUGACGGAGCAACGCCGCGUGAGUGAUGAAGGUUUUCGGACUGUAAAGCUCUGUUGUUUAGGACGAAAGUGCCUGUUGCAAACAGUUACAGGUAUUGACGGUACUAAACGAGGAAGCCACGGCUAACUACGUGCCAGCAGCCGCGGUAAUACGUAGGUGGCAAGCGUUGUCCGGAAUUAUUGGGCGUAAAGAGCAUGUAGGCGGGAAUCUAAGUCUGUUGUGAAAAUGCGGGGCUCAACCCCGUAUUGCGAUGGAAACUGGGUUUCUUGAGUGCAGGAGAGGAAAGGGGAAUUCCCAGUGUAGCGGUGAAAUGCGUAGAUAUUGGGAGGAACACCAGUGGCGAAGGCGCCUUUCUGGACUGUGUCUGACGCUGAGAUGCGAAAGCCAGGGUAGCGAACGGGAUUAGAUACCCCAGUAGUCC
rnacentral:rRNA from 1 species